AAGCCAGCCAAAGAAUCUGCUUGCCUGAAUGUGUUACUGCAGAGAUUUUUAAAAGCUGGCAAUAGUUAAAGCCAUCUUAUGAGCCUUAAGGACACUGAAGUCAUUAAGGUUCCUGAAAAUGGCUAUAAUA
rnacentral:snoRNA from 1 species